rnacentral:rRNA from 1 species
CCUACGGGUGGCUGCAGUGAGGAAUAUUGGUCAAUGGGCGGGAGCCUGAACCAGCCAAGCCGCGUGAGGGAAGAAGGUACAGCGUAUCGUAAACUCCUUUUGUCAGGGAACAAAGGCGUGGACUAUUCCCCGGAUGAGGUUCCCUGAAGAUAAAGCAUCGGCUAACUCCGUGCCAGCAGCCGCGUUCAUACGGGGGAUGCGAGCGUUACCCGGUUUGAUUGGGUUUAAAGGUUGGACAGCGGGCCUGUUAAGUCAGCGUAAAAUGCCCGGGGCUCAAGCCCGGCGAGGCCUUGAAACUGGCGGGCUGGAGUUGGGAAGAAGUGCGCGGAAUGCGUGGUGUAGCGGUGAAAUGCUUAGAUAUCGCGCAGAACCCCGAUUGCGAAGGCAGCGUACGAACUCCACACUGACGCUGAGGCACGAAAGCGUGGGUAUCGAACAGGAUUAGAUACCCUUGUAGUC